rnacentral:rRNA from 1 species
UACGUAGGGUGCAAGCGUUGUCCGGAAUUAUUGGGCGUAAAGAGCUCGUAGGCGGUUUGUCGCGUCUGCUGUGAAAACCCGAGGCUCAACCUCGGGCCUGCAGUGGGUACGGGCAGACUAGAGUGAUGUAGGGGAGACUGGAAUUCCUGGUGUAGCGGUGAAAUGCGCAGAUAUCAGGAGGAACACCGAUGGCGAAGGCAGGUCUCUGGGCCGAUACUGACGCUGAGGAGCGAAAGCGUGGGGAGCGAACAGG